rnacentral:sRNA from 2 species
GGACAGUCAUCGCCGAGUCCCCGUAGGCGCGAGCCAGGGGAGCCGGGGACCCACCGUCCCUGGGGUGAAUCGGACGCCCGCGCACCGCGAGGGGGUCCGUAGGAGACCUUCCUGCUCCGAACCCGUCAGCUAACCCGGUAGGCGAGAAGGAAGGAAAG